AUUCACCCAGUUCAAUGUAACAGUGAUGGGUUUAGGAUACUGUCCUUCAUAUUCACCCAGUUCAAUGUAACAGUGAUGGGUUUAGGAUACUGUCCUUCAUAUUCACCCAGUUCAAUGUAACAGUGAUGGGUUUAGGAUACUGUCAUUCAUAUUCACCCAGUUCAAUGUAACAGUGAUGGGUUUAGGAUACUGUCCUUCAUAUUCACCCAGUUCAAUGUAACAGUGAUGGGUUUAGGAUACUGUCCUUCACCCAGUUCAAUGUAACAGUGAUGGGUUUAGGUUACUGUCCUUCACCCAGUUCAAUGUAACAGUGAUGGGUUUAGGAUACUGUCCUUCACCCAGUUCAAUGUAACAGUGAUGGGUUUAGGAUACUGUCCUUCACCCAGUUCAAUGUAACAGUGAUGGGUUUAGGAUACUGUCAUUCACCCAGUUCAAUGUAACAGUGAUGGGUUUAGGAUACUGUCCUUCACCCAGUUCAAUGUAACAGUGAUGGGUUUAGGAUACUGUCAUUCACCCAGUUCAAUGUAACAGUGAUGGGUUUAGGAUACUGUCAUUCAUAUUCACCCAGUUCAAUGUAACAGUGAUGGGUUUAGGAUACUGUCCUUCAUAUUCACCCAGUUCAAUGUAACGGUGAUGGGUUUAGGAUACUGUCCUUCACCCAGUUCAAUGUAACAGUGAUGGGUUUAGGAUACUGUCAUUCAUAUUCACCCAGUUCAAUGUAACAGUGAUGGGUUUAGGAUACUGUCCUUCAUAUUCACCCAGUUCAAUGUAACAGUGAUGGGUUUAGGAUACUGUCAUUCAUAUUCACCCAGUUCAAUGUAACAGUGAUGGGUUUAGGUUACUGUCCUUCAUAUUCACCCAG
rnacentral:lncRNA from 1 species